rnacentral:tRNA from 1 species
GAGGGUAUAGCUCGGUGGUAGAGCACGUGCUUAGCAUGCAUGAGGUCCGGGUUCCUCCCCCAGUACCACCA